rnacentral:lncRNA from 1 species
UCUAUGUUAAUAGAUAGAUUCUACUUUCAUAACUUCACUAGAAACAGAAAUCUAUCUUUACUCUUCCGCUUCCAAGACUUUUGCAAGCAUUGUGAAUUCUGUAAGUUUUUUACCCUUUCUGCUCACUUUUUUUUUGGGGUUUAUUUGGGAAUAAAUGCUAAUUUUAGAUAAUUAUUUUUCUUUUGCAUGUUUGGGUAACAGUAGAUUAGCUCUCAGUUGGUUGUUUUUCGUAAUUUUUUUUGGAUUUUUGCUUUUGGUUGAUUUGGGUGAAUGAUUUCUAAUUUUUAUCCUUAAAAGUUUUCCGUUUUGCGUGUUUUGGGUUAUAGUGGAUUAGCUCUCAAUUGGAUUUGCUGUGAAAAGCUUUUUCUUUUUCAACUUUGUUUAAUAUCUUUUUGUUUAUUAUUUUUUCUUGAUUCGAAUAAAUACUACUCCUAUAUGCUAAUUUUCGUAUUUCUAAAAUAUUUUAUAAUUUUUGAGGUUGAAUAUAUCGGUUGUGUGCAUUUUGUAAAUGCAUGUGCUGUUUAUAGGCUAGAUUUUGUCAGUUUCAUUUCAACUUCUUCUUUGUAAAAGGCUUCUUACAGGUGCUUGUAUAAAAAAGCUGAUUAUUUUUGCAUAACUUAACAUUGGAAAUCGAAUGAAGGAAGUAAAUAAUCUUUCUUUAACCUAUUUGAAGUAAAACACAACCCUUAUAUUGUGCUAUAUAGCAGGUAAUGAUUCAACCAUGUUAUUUGUGCUACUCGUGUACUCUUUAUCUUUCUAACUCAUUUAAUUUCAGAAUAAGCAACUGAAAGAAAAAGGAUAAUUAAUUAUUAGGUACGUUUUGCAUUACAACUAUAUUAUAUAUCUUUCUUGAGAAUGCAAAUGGUACUUAUUUUACAUGGUCUGUAAUAUUUCCGCGCUUUUGUCCUAUUCACAUAUUUUGUCUUGCCAGCAAACAAUAACAUUGAAUCGCUUUGGUAGUUAUACCAUCCCUACUAAACCUGCAAAUUCAGUUCAGAGUGAGAUUAUUAUCCUCUUUAUAUGUUGUAACAUUUUCUGGAUGAGAUGAAUCUUGGCUUAGAUAAACAAGUCAUAGUUUGGCCACUCUUCCCAUUCACUUAAAUAGGAACAAUUCAUAUCAUUUUCACUAAAUGACAUGCGGGACUUUGGUGGAUUUUGAUUCUGAUUAUUUAUGUUAGUUCAAGUUAGAUAGAGUUUUGCUCUACAAUUAAGUAUUGCAUGUUCAUACCUCUCUUUACUUUGAUUCACAUGUCAUCUACUUUAUUCUACAGCUUCAUAUUUUAUACCAGGUUGGGUUGGAAAAGCUGAGCUUGAAACUUUUGAGAAGGUGACCAUGGUAUUGGGAUAACUUGAAUUUCCUUCUGCCAAACAAGUAAGCCAUGUAUAAAAGCCAUCAAUCUACAUUCUAUUGUAUUCGUUCUUUUUGUGAUAUUUAGAAUUCAACCAGAAUAUAUGGUUAGUUAUUUUGAGGAAAAAAAUUCUUUGUCACAUGAAUGGGUGCACUAUUUCAGCACAGGUAGUAGAAAUUGCUAAAUGAACAGCCUCUGUGAUUGCAUAAAGGUCUCAAAUUAUCUGUUAAAAGUAGUUACUCUUUCCACCUUUAUUUACCUUUGUAGUGAUGCAAAUUGCUUAUUAAAGCUUCCUUGGACGACCAAGGGUAAAACAGUAAUUACAACUUUUAGAAUUCACAUGUGUGCCUUUGCAUAAAUCCUUAAGCGUCAAGGUGUUCCCUUCCAUUCCCUCAAAACCAUGGGGGACAUCGCUGCUUCUCCGGUUUAUGAAUUUUUCGCUCUCUUUCUUCCUCUAUAGUCUACUUACUUUACUGUGAUUGUUUCUCCAUGUUUCUUCCGCUAUCUACUUAAUGCAUCACUCUUCUUGGACACUUCGGUCAACCUCCGUUAGUAGCCGGUCAGUCCUUGUCACGAUUCUCCUCUCCCUCCCUAAUAUUGCUGAUUAAUAAGUUGGUCUGAGAUUAUCAGUGUGUUCUCCAUCUGUUAUUUUUUGUUUUUAUCUCCCCACAUUAUUAAUAUUAGUAACUAUUUUCUGAUUAAUGUUGAUUCCGCUUCUUCCAGCUGCAUUGUUUAAUUUGGGUAUAUUGUGUUGGGUUCUGGUUAUUUUGUGAAUGGAUUGAUAUUUACUUUUUAGAGCUAAUGACAUAACAUCUUGAUAUAAAACAGAUAUUUUGCAUGGUUACAGGGAGAAAUCAAACAACUGAAGAGACUUCCUUUGUUUCUAUCCACAUUGGAGCUAAACCAGGUGGUCUGCUAUCAAAUCACCACCAUUUUGUUCUUGAGGUACCCACGUGUGAAAAUUGUUCGCUUUUUAAUUUUCGAGACUUACUUUUGUCUCCCUUAAUUUUAUCGAACAAUUGAAAGAUCCAGAGAAACUAGGAAAAGUAUGUCAUUGAGCAUUCCAAUUGCUCUUGAUUCAUUACUGGUUCCGAAAGGACGACAUACUCUUGACAUAUUUACAUCUUCUAACUUGGAAGAGUGUUCUACCACAUGCACAUAAGUUUGAGUAGUGCAAAUUUGUAUUUAUUAUUCUUUGUUUGAGGAAGUUAAAAAGUACACUCUCAUUUUUUGGCUUAUUGAGUUUUUUCUAUGAAAGAUCAUGAAGCGAAGGAGGAGCUUAUGGCUGAAAAUUUUGUAAGAAGACUUGAAAUUCACUAUUCCCUUGGACGCAACUAAUCUAUCGUCUUUAAGGAGGUAAUUGUACUGCUUUAUACAGAAACGUUUCCAAUUUAACUUAUGUGGUUGUUGAUGACGAGCGAAAACUCCUAAAGCGCCAUUUUUAUUCAUUUACUGUUGUAAGUUCUACAAAAUGUGAAGUUCGAUGAAGUGUAUAUGAAUUACACGUCUUUUAAUUUUUACCACCAAAUUGAUUAGAUUUCAUAAGAUGUCUUCUUUUGGUUACUAGGCUGUUAAAACUAAUAUUGAUUUCAUAAGUGGUUUGGUUUAGUUACUAGGCUAUUAAAGCUGGCAUUUAAAACAAGCAAAACAAACUUAUAGAUGUGUACUUUAAAAUCCAGUUGAUUCAUGGUGAUAAAGAGGAUUUUUUUAUAAGUUAGAAAUUAAGAGGGUUAAGAAGAUAAAAAAGGAGAAAAAAUGAGAAAGGAAUCACUGGGUGAUACAAAUUUAUUUCAUUAACCAAAACCUACUGAAGAAACUUGAUGAUCGAACAUUCCUUUUAUUGGUAAUAUUAGUAGUUUGGUGAUUAGUAUAAAACUCGGGGACAAGCAUCCGUCAAUAUUUUUAAAUCUUAGAAGGCAAAAAGGAGCUGGCUCCUUAUGGAUUUGUCCUCUGAAAGUUUCUUUAGAGUUGGGGAAGAUAAAUAAGCGCAACUUUUCUGUUAAGAGUAGCAAGAUGGUUCAUCUCCAUAGUACGGAUAUUGUUAAGAGAAAUUCAAUUAUUCUUCUAAAAUAAUAUUAUUAUAAUUAUGAAAAAGCAAUUAGCUGGAUCUUGGUGGUGGUCUCUCUGUCCUACCUUCCCUACUUCAUUUCACUGUUGAGUGUUUUCUAUAUUUUUGGUGUUUUCGUACAUUAUUACAUGUUUCUUGUGAUACAAUGUCAACCUUCACAUUUUUCUUCAAUACAUCAUCUGGUCCAUAGAUUUGGCUGUGAUUCUGUGAAGAAACACUUUAAAAACCUCUUCGAUAGCUGCAAUAGUUCCUAAAGAAAAUCUCUUGAAGAAUGGGCGUAAAGUAAUCAAGAAAGUGAAGAUUUUUUUUCCUGGAGUUCUCCUCAUUUAUAUGGUUACAUGCCAGGCUUAUAAUUUUUGAGGUUUUGUUGGAAUAUCAAUUCUAUUCACCUGGUCUUGAGCUAGCUUCUUUUAUUUUUAUUGUUAUUCACCCUAACCAAAGGCAAGUGGUUGUGUAGAGGAUCAAGAAUACUCUAUAAGAUAUUUAGCUACCUUAGUUUUCAAAGUGAAUGGGAUAUAAAUUUGAUUCCUUGGUUUUCUUUCAAUACAACGAACAUUGUCAAAAAAAUUCAAACUAAUUGGCUAGCGGUUUGGAACUGUUUGAUCUCCUCUUGCAUUAUGAUGGCGUAUGCAUUUUAAUUUUAUUGCUGUCAAAAAUAAGUACUUCUGAUUUCUAAAAUGUUUUAUAGUGAUUUUUGAGAAAACUACUUUCUUACCUUUGGCACAUUUAUGAUUUAUCUAUAUUUUGAUUUGGAAAUGUAGUAAAACCACUCGGCCUAAUGCCAACUACGUUCCAGAAUUUGUUAAACCCAUCUGGCACGCUGCCUUAUUAGCUAACAAUUACCCUCAAUUUAGAGAAUUCGAACUUUUAUGCGGAUCACAACAUACUUCUGACCGGUAAAUUAUCGAAAGUAGAGAUGGUAUUUUUAUGAACUUAUGAUAUUAGAACUAUGUAUUGUUUUCCAAAUUUGUACAACUGAGAACUGCAGUUGGUUUUCAUGGCAGCUUACUUUGGGCACCAAUAACAUACGUUAUAGUAAUUUUAGCACUAUGGUGAGUUUCAUUUUACUAGAUCUAUCAUGUUUCCCUUUUAGUAUUAUUGUUGACAAAAUAUGUUUCCAGCAUUUUCACCUGCUUUCUAUGUUAUAUUAUUUUGGCGUUUGUUUAUUUCUUCAAGAUCAUUUUUAUUGGUAUUUAUGCUAUGAUUUACUCCUCCUUACUUCUUCAGUUCCUUACAUCUAUUCAUAGUAUCUAAAUAAAAGUUAAUUAACCUCCCAAUAAGGAAAGAAAAUAUUUAAGAGACUUAAUAGGAAUUACUAUGAACUCUACUCAUCCUUUGGUAACUUAAUGCUGACCAAUUGCAUAUAUUAUUAUUUGGAAAGUAGUUAAAUAUGUUUCUGUGAUUUCAUGCUUAACUUUGAUAUGCAGCAUUCACAAAUGUUUUUAUUAAUAUAUUUCUGUCAUCUAUGGACAGAUGGUAAUCUUCAAGAAAGAGACGUUAACUCUAGGGAUAAAGCCUUUCUUUAAUAACCAGGUGAAACUGUCUAAUGUGAGGAUCCAAGACUGAUGGGUAUAUAAUCUUUCAUCUUUCAUCUUUUCGCCUUUUAAUUUUGCAGAAAAGAUUGAAGCUUCAAUUACUGUAUAUUGACGAGAAACCUUCUCGUGUCAAAACCGAGAACUAUGUAAACUGGCAAUUUUUCACCCUUGUUUUGUGAACGCAAGGAGAUGUUCUUUUGGUUAUUGUUUCAAAUCACUACUGCUAAGUGCGUUCGUGGUCUUUCUCCUUUCCUAGUGAGAUCUCUUUACAAAGACGCACUGAUUUAUGUAAAGAUUGUUUCUUUAAAUGUUUUUGGGAUCAAUGUAUUGUGAGCAUUUAAGUAUUUACAUUUAGGUAGUCUUAACAUUUGCUUAAUCUAUUAAGAGUUCGCU